UAUCAGAGCAUAUCAGAAUCAAUAUUCAAGAUCAUUAACAAUCCUAAAUCACAGUAAUGACUAAUGAUAACAACGAUUGAAGAAGCAAGAUGAAAAUUUAUAAAUUAACUAACCAAUUAAAAGUUUAAAACAACAAUUACAGUUACAAAAAUAAUAAAAAAAACUUCUAAAGAGAGCAGAAAUUGUAGUAUCGUUGUGAAAAAUCCAACUCGACCAGGCUUAGUCAAGGGGGAAGAUGAAUAAUAACCCGUGAAAAGUGUUUCAUUUUGAAUGCAAAGAUACACCAAAUUCAUGUCAAAUUGCGUUAAAGGUAAACAGUGUUUGACUUUGAAGGGUUAUCAGUAAAAUUUACUGAACUGCUCAAACAUGAAGCAGUUGUAAAUGGGAAAAAUCGAAAAAAUCAUAAGAAAACAAGACAAACUCAUCAAGGAAGAUGGCUUUCUUAUAUACAUAUAUACAGGAAU